AUUGAACGCUGGCGGCAGGCUUAACACAUGCAAGUCGAGCGGAGAUGAGGUGCUUGCACCUUAUCUUAGCGGCGGACGGGUGAGUAAUGCUUAGGAAUCUGCCUAUUAGUGGGGGACAACAUUCCGAAAGGAAUGCUAAUACCGCAUACGUCCUACGGGAGAAAGCAGGGGAUCUUCGGACCUUGCGCUAAUAGAUGAGCCUAAGUCGGAUUAGCUAGUUGGUGGGGUAAAGGCCUACCAAGGCGACGAUCUGUAGCGGGUCUGAGAGGAUGAUCCGCCACACUGGGACUGAGACACGGCCCAGACUCCUACGGGAGGCAGCAGUGGGGAAUAUUGGACAAUGGGGGGAACCCUGAUCCAGCCAUGCCGCGUGUGUGAAGAAGGCCUUGUGGUUGUAAAGCACUUUAAGCGAGGAGGAGGCUACUGAGACUAAUACUCUUGGAUAGUGGACGUUACUCGCAGAAUAAGCACCGGCUAACUCUGUGCCAGCAGCCGCGGUAAUACAGAGGGUGCGAGCGUUAAUCGGAUUUACUGGGCGUAAAGCGUGCGUAGGCGGCUUUUUAAGUCGGAUGUGAAAUCCCCGAGCUUAACUUGGGAAUUGCAUUCGAUACUGGGAAGCUAGAGUAUGGGAGAGGAUGGUAGAAUUCCAGGUGUAGCGGUGAAAUGCGUAGAGAUCUGGAGGAAUACCGAUGGCGAA
rnacentral:rRNA from 1 species